rnacentral:rRNA from 1 species
GAGUUUGAUCUUGGCUCAGGAUGAACGCUGGCGGCGUGCCUAAUACAUGCAAGUCGAACGCGAGCACUUGUGCUCGAGUGGCGAACGGGGUGAGUAAUACAUAAGUAACCUGCCCUAGACAGGGGGAUAACUAUUGGAAACGAUAGCUAAGACCGCAUAGGUACGGACACUGCAUGGUGACCGUAUUAAAAGUGCCUCAAAGCACUGGUAGAGGAUGGACUUAUGGCGCAUUAGCUGGUUGGCGGGGUAACGGCCCACCAAGGCGACGAUGCGUAGCCGACCUGAGAGGGUGACCGGCCACACUGGGACUGAGACACGGCCCAGACUCCUACGGGAGGCAGCAGUAGGGAAUUUUCGGCAAUGGGGGAACCCUGACCGAGCAACGCCGCGUGAAGGAAGAAGGUUUUCGGAUUGUAAACUUCUGUUAUAAAGGAAGAACGGCGGCUACAGGAAAUGGUAGCCGAGUGACGGUACUUUAUUAGAAGCACGCUAACUACGUGCCAGCCGCCGCGGU